GGGGUGAAAGGAGAAGAGACAAAGAGAGUGCGCAGGUUAAGAUGGAAAAAGACAAGGAUCCUGGGAAAUGCGCAGCUGCCAGCCAGUCAGCAACGACAGGUUUAAAGUUGGGAGUCCUGAAAACACACAUAAACACACACACACACACACACACACACACACACACACACACACACACACACACACAUUAGGUGACAAAAACAAGACUUGUGACUUUGACAUUAAACUUGACCUUGAGUUCAUCAUACAAUGGACUUAACAGAAGCAGCCAUUCCCAACAGACUUCUCUGAGAGUUCCCUAGUCACCAGGGUGGAUGAAGGGAGAACAUACCCCUGUAGAUACAAUUACUGAGCAGGAUAACCUCUUCCAUCACCAUACACAGAGUCAGAACCUUGAGCUGGACCCCUUCAUCAUCCUGUUACCAUGUCUGCCUUACACUUUUGCCUCAGCCAACCUAUCCAAGCGAUCCUGCUCUCUCUCUCUCUUGCUUUCUAAUAUCUGUUACAAUUCACGGUUGGCAUUCAAGAAUGUCUGGAGAAGGAAAACACAAACGAUGGCCGAGCCAUUUUGGAGCCAGGCACAGCCAGACUUCAAAUUGUGCUGGGUGUGGCAUGACAUUGAGCAGAGCAGCUCUUCGCCCUAACCUCAGAUGCCUCUGUGAAGUGCUGAAGAACAACAUGAAUCUGAACUCUGAGCC
rnacentral:lncRNA from 1 species